CACCACUCAAGCCAAGCUUGGUGUUGGGGCACCCGGCCGCCCGGCGGUCGGGGCCCCCAAGAACAUCGGCGGUCUCGCUAGGACCCUGAACGCAGUAACUCGCGGUAAAACGCGCUUCGUUCGGAGGCUUCCCUGCGGGCUCCAGCCGCUAAACCCCCUAAACUUCUUA
rnacentral:misc_RNA from 1 species